UACGAAGGGGGCUAGCGUUGCUCGGAAUCACUGGGCGUAAAGCGCACGUAGGCGGCUUUCUAAGUCAGGGGUGAAAUCCUGGAGCUCAACUCCAGAACUGCCUUUGAUACUGGAGAGCUUGAGUCCGGAAGAGGUGAGUGGAACUCCGAGUGUAGAGGUGAAAUUCGUAGAUAUUCGGAAGAACACCAAUUGCGAAGGCAGCUCGCUGGGACGUUACUGACGCUGAGACGCGAAAGCGUGGGGAGCAAACAGGG
rnacentral:rRNA from 1 species